rnacentral:rRNA from 1 species
UACGUAGGGGGCAAGCGUUGUCCGGAAUUAUUGGGCGUAAAGAGCGUGUAGGCGGUCCGGUAAGUCAGCUGUGAAAGUCAAGGGCUCAACCCUUGAAAGCCGGUUGAUACUGUCGGGCUGGAGUCCGGAAGAGGCGAGUGGAAUUCCCGGUGUAGCGGUGAAAUGCGCAGAUAUCGGGAGGAACACCAAUGGCGAAGGCAGCUCGCUGGGACGGUACUGACGCUGAGACGCGAAAGCGUGGGGAGCAAACAGG